GAGCAUAGUUAAAACAAAUUCUAGCCUGUGACGCUAGAGAUGAAGAUUAGUUAUCUUCUGCUCACC
rnacentral:tRNA from 1 species